rnacentral:rRNA from 1 species
UACGUAGGGUGCAAGCGUUGUCCGGAAUUAUUGGGCGUAAAGAGCUCGUAGGCGGUCUGUCGCGUCGGCUGUGAAAUCCCGAGGCUCAACCUCGGGUCUGCAGUCGAUACGGGCAAACUAGAGUAUUGCAGGGGAGACUGGAAUUCCUGGUGUAGCGGUGAGAUGCGCAGAUAUCAGGAGGAACACCGGUGGCGAAGGCGGGUCUCUGGGCAACUACUGACGCUGAGGAGCGAAAGCGUGGGGAGCGAACAGG